rnacentral:tRNA from 1 species
GUUAAUGUAGCUUAUAAUAAAGCAAAGCACUGAAAAUGCUUAGAUGGAUUGCUUAAUCCCAUAAACA